rnacentral:rRNA from 1 species
UACGUAGGGAGCAAGCGUUGUCCGGAAUCAUUGGGCGUAAAGCGCGCGUAGGUGGCUUCGUAAGUCCGUUGUGAAAGUCAAAGGCUCAACCUUUGAAAGCCGAUGGAUACUGUGAAGCUAGAGUACGGAAGAGGCGAGUGGAAUUCCUGGUGUAGCGGUGGAAUGCGCAGAUAUCAGGAGGAACACCAAUAGCGAAGGCAGCUCGCUGGGACGUACUGACACUGAGGCGCGAAAGCUAGGGGGAGCAAACAGG